UUUCUCUUCUGCUCCAGGGGAGGGUGGCACGAACUGCCAGAUGAAGGGGUAACGUGUGGACUUCGAAAGGCCAGGGGGGCAAGCCUCACGGUGCUGUCCUGACGGGGACACGGCCACUCCCACCCCGGGUUCGUGAAGUUGUUGAUUUCCAAAUACGGUGAGGCCUUUUCUUGGUCAAACAAAUAUUUCAAAUUUUAAACCAGAAGAUAAGGUAAAUAGCCGGGGGCUGUCUGGUCUCCUCAUGGGAUUCGCCAGCCGCCCGCCCCCGGGGGAGGCACGCAUGGGACUGCGUUUUCUGGGUCCUGAACAAAUCCCGCUGAUGGCCAUGAGCACCUUCCCCAGAAUACUCCAGCCCAGGCCACGUGAGCUGUUGCUGGGGUUCCUGGUGCAGCCCUGCCAUUCCCGGGGCUGCCCUCUGGGGUGCUCAAGGGCCAGCACGGCUGAUAGCGCUGGUUCUUCUCCCCGGGUGACAGGGCAAUGGGGUAGGAGGCCUCUCUGAGGGAAAGAGUCAUCCACAAGAGGCCUGGGACUCUGGGACUCCUCUAAAGAUGGGACCCAGAACUCCUCAGACUUUAAAAAGAAGGUGGGAGCCCUUUUGGCAAUUUCUGAAUGAUAUUAAUCAAUGCACUGGGUAAGUGAUUGCCAUGUGUCAAACUGGCAGGUCCGUGGUCCCCAGUCAUUCACUUACUCAUCUAGGUGUCACAGUGGAGACAUCUGUAUCUGUGAUUCAAGUCCACAACAAGCUGACUUGAAGGAAUGGAAACUGUCCUAGGUGACCUGGGUGGGCCUGGCCCAAUCAGGUGGAGACCUUAAGAGAGAGCCGAGGCUCCCUGAAGAAGAAGGAAGGUGCCUGUGGACGCAGCCCCGGCCAUGCCAAGACCAGCCUGGGCCUGCCCCGUGGGUGCAGGACCCUCGCACCAGACCCCACAGUUGCCUAAGCAACUCUUUGUGGUAAAACCUGAAUACAGACCUCCUGCUCUGCUUCUUGGGUUGACCCCAAC
rnacentral:lncRNA from 1 species